CUCCAGACUGCGUGGGCUAGUGUGGGCGCAGUUGAAAAGUUUCUUAUAAAAGCGGUGAUUCCGGAGUCUCGUAUUACGCGCGUCCCCUCCCUCUGUAAUAAUUGUUUCUUACUACGAUUCCUUCCACCUACUCUGUUUCUCCUUCGUAGUAUUUCUUCGAAAAGCUUCCGUCACUAAAGGAAAUCUGGUCUAUGGUUUUGGCUGAAGAAGGUUCCACGAUGUCUCGGACUGACGAAGUACACCGUAUAACGGAGAAUGUCUAUAAGUCCAUUAUGGAGCAGUUUAACCCGUGCUUGCGGAACUUCGUGGCCAUGGGGAAGAGUUACGAGAAGGCCCUGUCCAGUGUCACAUUUGCUGCAAAGGGCUACUUCGAGGCACUGGUGAGGAUGGGAGAGAUGGCCAGCGAAAGUCAAGG